CAGUUUCCUGACCCGGGUGAAACGGGAAAGCGGUGCGUCCAUCACGGGCCAAGCCGCUGCUGCCCCCGCAACGGUAGGCAGGUGCGGGCAUGCCACACAGCCACUGGGAGACUCCCGGGAAGGCGGCAUGCCAAGACCUGCAAGCCCGGAGACCGGCCACUGG
rnacentral:ncRNA from 1 species